UUCUGCCACAAUAAUUAAUCGACUUUGGUUUUAACUGUGACGAGGCACCUCCCAUAAACACUCUCUACUAUUUACACCCGUGAAAAGCGAGAGCUAGCCGAUUGAAGCGUCCAUCAGGCCCAUUUUGAGCCCGCUACAAUUUCCCACACAAGUGGACCUCGCACUGAUCUCAAAAAUAUGGUGAAUGUCAGGACACACAUUAAUAGCAGUACUCUUUUAACUGUCGAUGCUGUUCUGCGUCGUACGUAGACCAAACGGUUCGCCAUUUACUCACAUGAGUUUCAUAACAUAAGUGAUAAGUGGCAUGCAGUUACAUGUUAGUUACAUGUAAUAGACCUUUCCCCUUUUGAGUGAAAUUUUCAUCUAGACAAGUGAAUGCACAUCUUGAUCGUCUGUCUCUUGCGAUUUUUCCUGACUUCACAUUUUGCGCUAAAGCCUUCAUAAUGCAUUUGUUGAAUGCGUAAUAUUCUGAAGAAGAAUGAAAUUCACUAACAGGUUUAUUGCGCAAAAAGAAACUGAGUAAUUCGACAUUUUAUACGCCAAACACUGAUCUAUUUUCAUAUUCGAAUCCGAAUUAAAUAAAAGCCGACCGUUCACUAAUGGACCAUUUGCAUUACAGACUAAAUUUUGAUCAAAACAAGUCUAGACAAAAAAAAUAAAAGCCGACCGUUCACUAAUGGACCAUUUGCAUUACAGACUAAAUUUUGAUCAAAACAAGUCUAGACAAAUUUGUCUAGACUUGUUUGAUGCAUUUGAAUGCGCA